AAUGAACGUUGGCGGCAUGGAUUAGGCAUGCAAGUCGAGCGAGAAGAGUUUUGAAGCUUGCUUUAGAACUCGGACAGCGGCGAAAGGGAGAGUAACGCGUAGUUAUGUGCCCUAGGGUCCGGAAUAGCCACGGGAAACCGUGGGUAAUGCCGGAUAAUAUCCCCGGAUCAAAGGUGUGAUUCCGCCCUAGGAGCAGACUGCGUCCUACUAGCUAGUUGGUGGGGUAAUGGCCUACCAAGGCAACGAUGGGUAGCGGGUGUGAGAGCAUGACCCGUCUCACUGGGACUGAGACACUGCCCAGACACCUACGGGUGGCUGCAGUCGAGAAUCUUCGGCAAUGGGCGAAAGCCUGACCGAGCGAUGCCGCGUGCGGGAUGAAGGCCCUCGGGUUGUAAACCGCUGUCGUAGGGGAGGAAGGUUCCGUGAAGAGCGGAAUUUGACCUAUCCUAGGAGGAAGUACGGGCUAAAUUCGUGCCAGCCGCCGCGGUAA
rnacentral:rRNA from 1 species